CCCCCUUUCUAUACAAAGUAGAAAAAUCUGUAAACUCUAUACAAAACUGAAUUGACUCCUUAACUCCUAUCAAACCACAGCUCCAUUGCUUUGUCAAAUUUCCCUCCUUUUCUUCUUCUCAAAGAAGUAAUCCUAUUCCUGAUCAACUUAUCUAAUCUGGCUAUUAGACAAGAAGCAGGUAGAGAAGAAAUACCUAAUCUUCUUAGGUUUCUUUCAUUCCAUACUGCAUACGCCACUGCUUGGAAACAAUAACGGAACAGGAAAGUUACAAGCCUUCCUUGAAACCCAUUAACCACUGCCCGUACUACCUCCAACCACUUAUAUAUACGCCUGCUACCUG
rnacentral:lncRNA from 1 species